GAUGAACGCUGGCGGCGUGCCUAAUACAUGCAAGUCGAGCGAAGCGGGGACGGGUGAGUAACACGUGGAUAACCUCCUUUAAGACUGGGAUAACUUCGGGAAACCGGAGCUAAACCGGAAACUUAUAGAUGGAUCCGGGCUGCAUUAGCUAGUUGGUAAGUGAACGGCUUACCAAGGCAACGAUGCAUAGCCGACCUGAGAGGGUGAGCGGCCACACGGGAACUGAGACACGGUACAGACUCCUACGGGAGGCAGCAGUAGGGAAUCUUGCACAAGGGGCGAAAGCCUGACAGAGCAACGCCGCGGGAGUGAGGAAGGUCUUCGGAUCGGAAAACUCUGUUAGUAGGGAGGCGGUACCUAAUCAGAAAGCCACGGCUAACUACGUGCCAGCCGCCGCGGUAAUAC
rnacentral:rRNA from 1 species